rnacentral:lncRNA from 1 species
UAACCACUGGAAAAUGGUCUGAGUCGCCGCCAACCGUCCUAACCCUAGUCUUAGCUCCAUCGUACAUGUCCUUGAUUACUCUGAUGUGGCUUCCGGCACGCUCUUCGCCUCCAAGCACCUCCAUUGCACCUCCCUUGGGACGUUCUCAUGCGCCUUCUCCAAAUCGAUAAGCACCAUCUGCAGGUCCUUCUUAUCCCUGAACUGCUCCACCAGCCUCCUGACAAGGUGGAUAGCUUCUGUANNNN